rnacentral:rRNA from 1 species
CAAUAGCGUAUAUUAAAGUUGUUGCGGUUAAAAGCUCGUAGUUGGAUUUCUGCUUGGGGCAGCCACUGUACCCUCCGGGUCACAGAUGGUUAGGCCUGAGCAUCUUCUUGGGGACCGUGUCUGCACUUGAUUGUGUGGCACGGGUUCCAGGACUUUUACUUUGAGGAAAUUAGAGUGUUUCACGCAGGCGUCCGCCUUGAAUACGUUAGCAUGGAAUAAUGCGACAGGACCUCGGUCCAUUUUGUUGGUUUCUUGGGUUGAGGUAAUGAUUAACAGGGAUGGUUGGGGGCAUUCGUAUUUAACUGUCAGAGGUGAAAUUCUUGGAUUUGUUAAAGACGAUCUACUGCGAAAGCAUUUGCCAAGGAUGUUUUCAUUGAUCAAGAACGAAAGUUAGGGGAUCGAAGAUGAUUAGAUACCAU